CAGGGUCUCCUCUCUGUUAGGAGCUGAACACUUGUUGAGACAACCUGAAUGUGGAAAGGAGCUACCUAC
rnacentral:miRNA from 1 species